UCCCUGGGAUAGCUCAGUCGGUAGAGCAUGAGACUCUCAGGGUUGUGGGUUUGAGCCCCAUGUUGGAAG